CGUGUCACUAAUUUAUUGGUUACCUUUUUUUUUCCUCUCUUUUCUUCCUUUGCUUCUCUCUCUGUCGAUACAAUCUAACCGAUGAAACAAUGAUCUCGCCUCGCCGUCUUCUUCUUCGAUCCAAGUCCUCACAGCUGCCAAAUUAGAAAAGUGGGAUAGGUAUUACAGAGGCUCUGCGUCUUCAGAUGGAAGUACAGAAGCAGCUCCAUGAGCAACUAGAGAUUCAAAGAAACCUGCAACUCCGGAUAGAAAGCAAAUACGUUCAUAACUUACAAAGAUCCUUUUCACCUUCCUACGGCAGAAAGCAAAUAAUGAUUCGCCAUAAAAACAAAGUCAGAGUUGGGUUGCUUUAGUAAUGUCUUUGGUGUUUCAAGAUGGAGAAAAGCUUCGAAGUGACGAAGGCAAGCACAUCACAAGCUCUUCACCUUACAAAGAUCAGAGACGAGAGCACAUCACUCUGGCACUAACCAUCAGAGAGCACAUCACUCUCUCACUAGCACAUCGCUAACAUUCAACAACAAUAAGCAUAAUCAAGGAGAUGAGCUGCCAAGGCUCUUUUAAACUCAUUCUGCAACGGCAAAGCCUCUCUUUCUUUCUGUGUCUUUCCUUCACUCUUUGCUCUGUUCCACGUCAUCAGCUUGUUUCUUCUUAUUUUAAGUAGUACGAUGAUGAAUCGUAUCAGUUUUCAAUUUAUCUCUCUUGUUUGCAGCAAAAAACAUAUUCAUAAUCUGAUAUGUUCUGUCAAAUUACAUCGGAAGAUAAGAGAGUGUAUGGUCAGACAAUCUCGCUCAGAUAUAGCUCAGCUCCUUCAUAAUGGCCGUCUCUCAGAAGCUCUUCCCCCAAAGGUAUCUGAAGUUAAUCUCAAUCACCAUGUUACUUCUGCUUGAUCAGUUUAUUUAUAAAUUUGCAGAGAGCAACUGAAGCUGAGAUUUUGGAUAAAUUCGGAAACAGAGAGGUGUUUUGUAUCACUGUUCUCCAGAAACAGAGUUCUUUUAGCUUUGUGUUGUGUAUAUCACUUGCUCAGGUGAAGUCAACACCCUUUGAUGUCACGGCAAUGCUAUGACCAGGACCUGCAAGUGCUUGUGAUUUCUCCCGCCUGCAACCAAACUCACCAGCUAGCAAGAAGUUUAAAACAAGCUUCCACGAGCCUCCACACCUCCUUUUGAUAUCUUGGCGUUCUUCAUCUCUCAUACAUUUAAAGAUUACCCUCUUUUGGCAAAUGUCGAGAGCUGCAUCUCCUGUGAUUAUUGUUGUGUGUCCUCUUUAUAUUUUCCUAACUAUUAAGUGUGCAUGUUAGACUUUAAAUACAUUUUUAAUUAAAAAAAAAUUAGACACC